UGGGGAAUAUUGCACAAUGGGGGAAACCCUGAUGCAGCGACGCCGCGUGAGCGAAGAAGUAUUUCGGUAUGUAAAGCUCUAUCAGCAGGGAAGAAAAUGACGGUACCUGACUAAGAAGCCCCGGCUAACUACGUGCCAGCAGCCG
rnacentral:rRNA from 1 species